rnacentral:rRNA from 1 species
UUCGUAGGUGAACCUGCGGAAGGAUCAUUACCUAGAGUUGUAGGCUUUGCCUGCUAUCUCUUACCCAUGUCUUUUGAGUACUUACGUUUCCUCGGCGGGUCCGCCCGCCGAUUGGACAAUUUAAACCAUUUGCAGUUGCAAUCAGCGUCUGAAAAAACUUUAAUAGUUACAACUUUCAACAACGGAUCUCUUGGUUCUGGCAUCGAUGAAGAACGCAGCGAAAUGCGAUAAGUAGUGUGAAUUGCAGAAUUCAGUGAAUCAUCGAAUCUUUGAACGCACAUUGCGCCCCUUGGUAUUCCAUGGGGCAUGCCUGUUCGAGCGUCAUUUGUACCUUCAAGCUUUGCUUGGUGUUGGGUGUUUGUCUCGCCUCUGCGUGUAGACUCGCCUUAAAACAAUUGGCAGCCGGCGUAUUGAUUUCGGAGCGCAGUACAUCUCGCGCUUUGCACUCAUAACGACGACGUCCAAAAGUACAUUUUUACACUCUUGACCUCGGAUCAGGUAGGGAUACCCGCUGAACUUAAGCAU